GACGACGCACGGGUGACUCUGCCCCUUUCGGUGUCGGGUGCAGUGAGAGGUAGCGUCGUCCGAGAAGGCUGGCCUUACUCAUUUGCUACCGCCAAGAUGUCCAAAUCUGAGGGAUCGUCUGAUUAUGGGUGCGAUCUGUCGCCUAACGCAUCCCCCAAGGAACCUGAACAGCUGCGAAAACUCUUUAUUGGUGGCCUGAGUUUUGAGACAACAGAUGAGAGCCUUCGCAUUCAUUUUGAGCAAUGGGGCACACUAACAGAUUGUGUGGUAAUGAGAGACCCAAAUACUAAGCGCUCCAGGGGAUUUGGAUUUGUCACUUACUCAACAGUGGAAGAGGUUGAUGCUGCCAUGAAUGCCAGACCACACAAGGUUGAUGGCAGGGUUGUUGAACCAAAGAGAGCAGUAUCUAGAGAGGACUCCCAGAGACCUGGAGCACAUUUGACAGUGAAGAAAAUCUUUGUUGGGGGGAUUAAGGAAGAUACAGAGGAACACCAUUUGCGGGACUACUUUGAACAGUAUGGCAAAAUUGAAGUUAUAGAAAUAAUGACCGAUCGUGGCAGCGGCAAAAAGAGGGGGUUUGCCUUCGUUACUUUUGAUGAUCAUGACUCUGUGGACAAAAUUGUCAUUCAGAAAUACCAUACUGUAAAUGGACAUAAUUGUGAAGUCCGAAAGGCUUUGUCAAAACAGGAAAUGGCCAGUGCCUCUUCCAGUCAGAGAGGUCGCAGUAGUUCUGGAAGUUUUGGCAGUGGGCGUGGAGGUGGAUUUGGCGGUGGUGACAAUUUCAACCGUGGUAGCAAUUUUGGAGGCCGUGGUGGUUUUGGCAGCCGCAGUGGUGGUGGUGGUGGAGGAGGAGGAGGCGGAGGAGGAGGAUAUGGGAGCAGCGGAGAUGGCUAUAAUGGAUUUGGCAAUGAUGGUUAUGGAGGCAGUGGCCCUGGAUAUUCUGGUGGAAGCCGGGGUUAUGGUGGCAGUGGAAGCUACGAUGGAUACAACAACGGCGGGGGCGGCUUUGGUGGUGGCAGUGGGGGAAGCAACUUUGGAGGUGGAGGAAGCUACAAUGAUUUUGGCAGUUACAACAACCAGUCUUCAAAUUUUGGGCCCAUGAAAGGAGGAAACUUUGGAGGGAGGAGCUCUGGCCCUUAUGGUGGAAGUGGUGGUGGCUAUGGGGGCUCUGGUAGUAGCAGUAGCUAUGGUGGUGGAAGGCGCUUUUAAUUCCUAGGAAACAAAGCUUAGCAGGAGAGGAGAGCCAGAGAAGUGACAGGGAAGCUACAGGUUACCACAGUUGUGAACUCAGCCAAACAGAGUUGUGGCAGGGUAGAACUGCCUCAUGAAGACAUGUGUUAGACAAGCGCUUGUUUGCAAACAUCAGGACUGUAUUUGCGACUAACUGUAUAACAGGAUAUUUUAGUUUUUGUGUUUGUGGAAAGUGCAAAGCAUUCCAACCAGGGUUUUUAUGUAGAUUUUUUUUUUCCACACCCAUGCUGUUGACUGCAAACUGUAAUAGACUGAUCAUGACGCUGAAUAAAUGUGUCUUUUUUUAAACGUGCUGUGUAAAGUUAGUUUACUAUAAGUUAAUGUACAUUGAUUUUCACUACAUGGAAAAGAUUAGUGAAGAGUCAAAUAGCAGAGAAUGAUUCUCAGAAUGCCAAGAAAUCUUUAUAUUCAAAGCCAAAUAUAUUGAUUUUGUGUCUUGUAUAACUUCAUGAAAAACAAAUUUUGCAGAAAUUUCCUCAAAUGAAGGACCACUCCCAAAAUGUAUUCCUUAUUUAAAUAAGGACAUCUUCUUGGUAGCUUGACCAUUAUUCUUUCCUGUUUGCUUUUUCAGCUCAUGUCCUCCCUUUUUUCUGGUUGAGUUUAAAGAGUGCCAGUGACUGAGGCAGGAGAUUUUAUAUGCUGAAUUAAAGGCAAAUAAAAAAGAUUGGCCACAUCAGCAUAUAGGUAUAGCAGCUCAACUUAACGAGCUUGAAAUGGGACAUUUGGCGAAUAAGUCACCUGCUAGAGCCUGCUAUGUUUACGAUAUCUCUAUGCAGUUAUCCAGUUGGACCUAAGUCACCCCAAUACAGUGUCAUUUUUUUCUGUACUGUAGAAAUUUCAAUUUCUUGGGCUUUACAGCAAGAGAAUUAGUCAGCUGUCAAAAGCUGUGAAACUUCCAAUAAUUGGGAUGUUGAUACCAGGUUGCUUUGACUCCCUUGCAGUCUCAUUUUUGUAAUAAAAGCAAACAGAUUUUCCACUGAAGAGACUAGCAAAAUACAUGACUUUUAAUCCAUUACUAGCUGAAUAUAUAAAUACUUCAAAUGGUAACAUUUGCUAAAAUUGGUAAGAGCACAUUGCUUGUUUGUAGAUGGGCAGCAAACAAAUUUAUUAAAUGAUAAAAGUAUCCCAACUAAUGGGGAGGGGGUCAUGAAGUUGUGCAGGGUAGCUCAUAUAAUUGAUAUCUGUUAGGUAAAAGUUUUAUAAAAAUCCAUUGGUCUAAAUUAAAAUUUGACAGUGCUCUCUUCUCAAAAGUAGACUAGAUUUUAUACUGAGAAGUUCUAGCAUGAGAAAAAUAGUGUGAAUCUUAUUAGGCACUCUUAAGUUAAUUUUGUGGUAUUGUUUUUACUUGAGGCACUUAGUAAUCUAAUUAUCCCCAAAUUGGUUCAUUCCUGUGAGGGAGCCAAAAAAGUUCUCAUCUCUCUUAAAGCUCAGUUGCAUUUUGAAAUUCCAGAAAUUCAUUGUUUCCAUUUUAUGAAAUAACAUUUCAUAUAUUUCCCCACUUAAUGCAACUCUUACCAUACAAAAUGGGUACACUGGCUCCUAUUUUCUGGUUCCAUUAAACAUGGUAGUAUGUUUCUGUUCCACAAGAUGGAAGUAGAAAUGCACUUAAAAACUGAAGGGGUAUAGAUAAUGUCACGGAAUUGCAUUAUACUUCGGUCAAUCAAUCUUCUGUCAGAUCUGAAUACACAUUUAUAUCUUAGUGUCAUGAAAUAAGACAAAUGUGUGCCUAAAUAUGUUUAUGAAUGCAAUGGUGCUUGUAUAUGGUGUGUGUACAAGUGUAUUUAUAUAUAAAACUUCUGAUUGGUGACUGGCUUAAUUUAGAAUGCAAAAUUAAUAGUCCUGAUGGGUUUUUCCAUGGCUGAGUUUGCAGUAGCAGGUGGAUCCUGACAAGACCUCAGGAUUUAUGAAAUAAUACUCGUUUUUGGCAUGGUAGCAUAACCACAACAAAGGAGAGCACACCAGGACCCGAAAACUAAGUAGCAUUACAAAACCGGGAGGCAUGCAGAUGUUUGAGCUACUAGGAACGGCUAGCAAGCAUAGCUCCGAAUGGCUUCCAGAUCAGACGCUACUACAGCUGAGAGUAGACACGUGUUUUGAGUCAAGUGGACAGAUAAGCCAGGUGCAGGCUUCUGCUGACUAGAAGGGAGUACUCAGUGACCAUCGGAAGGAGGCAGACGAGAGUAAGGAUCCUUGCUCUUAGGACUAGCAGAAGGAAGGAAAGAAAGGUUAUAUUACUGUACUGGUAGGUAAGAACAGAUUUUACUUACGUCCUAUACAGUUUUGUUAUCCUACUAAAUUUUCUCCAAGACUGAGUUUACUUUGUAAAUACCAGUCUAGCUAUCUUUUAAUUCACCCAGUGCUGUAAUAUGCAAGCAGUAGAUGGAUAGAACAUUACUAAUUAAUAUUUUACUGUCACAGGCCUGACAACAUCAUUAAUGAAAUGUACUUUAAUAAAAAGCAAUGCCUUUUCAUUCCUCUUUGUGUGGCCUUGUUGACUUAAACAAUUUUAGCAUAACACAGUGCACUGGCUGUGCUGCUAUAAAGGCAGAGGAAUUUAUGGGGGUUGGGAAUGCUUAUAUAAAGUGUGAAUAGGGAUUCAAUAAAAUUGGGUGGUAUUUAAUUUUUCUUCCUUUUUAUAGGAAAAGAGGAACUUUUAUAGGAAAAGAGGAACGGUCCGGUGCUAAAAUGCCUUUGUUCCUGACAGAUGGACUGUCUUUGGAUUUCCUUUUUCUUUCUAAAGGACUCCUCAGCUUGAUCUACCAUAAACCUUUCAAAGAAAGAUACCUUGGCUACUAGGUAGCUGUACGUAUAAUCUAUUAUUAUGAAUAGAUUUAUUUAAUAAAACAGUUUUUGAUAUA